UAUGAAGCCGGACUGGGAUAGGGCCUCGCUGCCUUGCCCGUCUGGCGCCAUAUUCACCCAUGUCUUUUUGCGUACUACUUGUUUCCUUGGCGGGUCCGCCCGCCAAUUGGACCUUAUUCAAACCUUUUUUUUCAGUUGCAAUCAGCGUCAGCAAAACAAAUGUAAUCAAUUACAACUUUCAACAACGGAUCUCUUGGUUCUGGCAUCGAUGAAGAACGCAGCGAAAUGCGAUAAGUAGUGUGAAUUGCAGAAUUCAGUGAAUCAUCGAAUCUUUGAACGCACAUUGCGCCCUUUGGUAUUCCAAAGGGCAUGCCUGUUCGAGCGUCAUUUGUACCCUCAAGCUUUGCUUGGUGUUGGGCGUCUUGUCUCUCUCCCGAGACUCGCCUUAAAAUCAUUGGCAGCCGGCCUACUGGUUUCGGAGCGCAGCACAUUAUUUGCGCUCUUGUCCAGCCGCGGUCGCGCGUCCAUGAAGCUUCUUUCAACCUUUUGACCUCGGAUCA
rnacentral:rRNA from 1 species